GUAGUUGUAUACCUACAUAGUGCUUCGAUAUGGUUAAACUAGACGAUGUACUGGUAUUUGAGCACGGGGUCAUCUUACGAUUAAUUGCCAUAUGAUGCUCAACGUGCAUUUUACUUUGAGGAAAUUAGAGUGUUCCAAGCAAACAUGGUUGUGAAUAUAAUAGCAUGGGAUAAUAUUUUUGGCCUGGAUUCCUUUUGUCAAAGAUUGGAGUUCAUGGUAAUUUCGAAAGGGAUAUCUGGGGGCACUCGUAUUAAGCUGUCAGAGGUGAAAUUCUUAGAUUUUCUUAAGACGAACAAAUGCGAAAGCAUCUGCCAAAGAUGUUUUCAUUGAUCAAGAACGAGAGUUAAGGGAUCGAAGACGAUUAGAUACCGUCCUAGUCUUAACAGUAAACUAUGCCACCUAAAGAUUGGGAGACGUCUCUUUACGCUCUCGGUAUUUUAUGAGAAAUCAAAGUCGUUGGGUUCUGGGGGGAGUAUGGUCGCAAGACUGAAACUUAAAGGAAUUGACGGAGGGGCACCACCAGGAGUGGAGCCUGCGGCUUAAUUUGACUCAACACGGGGAAUCUUACUAGGUCCAGACAAAGGGAGGAUUGACAGUUUGAGAGCGCUUUCUUGAUUCUUUGGGUGGUGGUGCAUGGCCGUUCUUAGUUGGUGGAGUGAUUUUGUCUGGUUAAUUCCGUUAACGAACGAGACCUUAGCCAUCCAAAUAGUAUAUUGAACAAUAUUUUAAUAUGCUUCUUAGAGGGACUGUGUGUUUGAGCACAAUGAAGCUUAAGGCAAUAACAGGUCUGUGAUGCCCUUAGAUGAUCUAGCUGCACGCGCGCUACAAUGAUACUUACAUCAGUGAAUUCCUUGACAAGGGCAUGGAAUCCUUUGAAUCGUAUCGUGUUUGGAAUAGACUAUUGCAAUUAUU
rnacentral:rRNA from 1 species